GAUGAACGCUGGCGGCGUGCCUAACACAUGCAAGUCGAGCGAAGCGCUUAAAUUAGAUUUCUUCGGAAUGACGAUUUUUGUGACUGAGCGGCGGACGGGUGAGUAACGCUGGGGUAACCUGCCUCAUACAGGGGGAUAACAGUUAGAAAUGACUGCUAAUACCGCAUAAGACCCCAGCUUCGCUUGAAGCGGUGGUAAAAACUCCGGUGGUAUGAGAUGGACCCGCGUCUGAUUAGCAAGUUGGUAAGGUAACGGCUUACCAAGGCGACGAUCAGUAGCCGAGCAGAGAGGGUGACAGGCCACAUUGGGACUGAGACCCGGCCCAGACUCCUACGGGAGGCAGCAGUGGGGAAUAUUGCACAAUGGGGGAAACCCUGAUGCAGCGACGCCGCGUGAAGGAUGAAGUAUUGCGGUAUGUAAACUUCUAUCAGCAGGGAAGAAAGUGACGGUACCUGACUGAGAAGCCACGGGUAACUACGUG
rnacentral:rRNA from 1 species